rnacentral:piRNA from 1 species
UUCUAUUUUUCUUGCUGACGC